ACAGAGUGAAGUCCCUCCAAUUGCUGUGUCAGAUCCUGGAAGCCUGCCUGGUCUGGAGGUCACUUUCAGCAGCGGAGAUGGUUUCCGAUUGCUAUCAUUGGGUACAUCCCACUUCUACUUAAAAAUAGCAACGAUUCUGAGUAGGUCAGAAAAAUCAAUGGAUCCACAGAAGCCUCGGACAAAGCACAAAAGCACCAAAGUUUCGGGAAAGAAGAUAGAAAGCCAUUCUCCCUAUCCAACUAAACCACAAGGCCAGGGCUCCGAAGAAAGAAACGUGAGGAGGGGCUUCACGCGUGAACGGAAUGCUUUAGAGCCUAGAAGGGAGAGGAUCAAAAUAUCUAUCGCACAGGCCUGGAACCGGAAAAUGGAGCCGAAAGAAAAGAAAGCGAGCUGGCAGCCGCCGUCCGUGAGGAGGAACAUGGUAGGGACAAGGAGUUCUCAGGAAGCAGAGCCAGACUACGGAGGGACGCUUUCUACCGAGCGCAUCUCUUGCCAUUUGAGACGGUCCAGAACCUCGUGCCAGCCAGGAGCACGGAACACCGUGAUCUUCCUCAUUUACAUGCCAUUACCCAGAAUGCUCUGUGGCUUUCUUAUUUCCUUUUUGAAGAAUGCAGCUAAUGUCAGAGCUUGGAUACAAAAACAAAUUAAUUUUAGAUAUAAGAUUAUCGAUUCCACUUGCUAAUGGGAUUCUUCAUUGACGUUUUCGGUUUAUAAUAAUCCCUGACGUCAACUAAUUUGUCCAAAUGGUCAGGCAGCUUCUGGAAUAUUCUCUAAACUUAACAGUUUAGCUCUUGGGAGGUAACUCAGAACGACCCAUUUCUCCUUUAAAAGCCAUAGCACACGAUAACUUUUUGUUGAGUUGCUCGCUUGUCCUGUCUGCUUCCUUAGUCACUGGGCAGAUGAGGCAUGAAGCCAACAUUGCAGUGGGCAGAUGCUUCUUCCUGGCUCCUUGCAAGUUGUCACCCUUUCAGAUUGCUGAGCCAUAGAGUCAAAGACAUCACAGAUACUGAGACUAUGUGACUAUCUGCAUAAAUGCUGAAUGUGUAGAGUGUAUGUGUUGAACCUGCCCAUUGCAUAUUAUCUGUCAAGUAUUAACAGUGUGUGUGUGCUUGCCUGUGGGUGCGUGUGUGCACGUGCGCACGCACACGUGCUGAUGGGUGUAUUGAGGGGCUGUGUAUUGAUUGUGUUUUGAGUGUAUAUUAAAUGUCUGAGUGUGAGUGUGUGUGUGUCACUGAAUGUGGAGUGUGUGUAUGAGAGGAUAGGGCCUGUGUGGAUCUGUGGGAAAGCGUGCAUAUACGCGUGUCCGUGGUAAAAAAAAUAUGUGGCAAACACACCAAGGGGUUAAAGUAGUCACUGUAGGUCUCACACGUUUCUGGAGUCCAAGGGUUGCUGCUAGAGGCUGGUUUCUUUUGUUUGGUUUGCUAUUUCACAAACAAGACAAAAAAAAAAAAAAAAAAAAAAAAAAAAAAAAAAAAAAGGACUGGGCAUUCCUACACUUGAUCUUAGCCAAAAGGCCGAG
rnacentral:lncRNA from 1 species